CACGUAGGGGCCAAGCGUUGUCCGGAUUUAUUGGGCGUAAAGAGCUCGUAGGCGGUUCGACAAGUCGGGUGUGAAAACUCCGGGCUCAACCCGGAGACGCCACCCGAUACUGUCGUGACUGGAGUCCGGUAGGGGAGUGGGGAAUUCCUGGUGUAGCGGUGAAAUGCGCAGAUAUCGGGAGGAACACCAGUGGCGAAGGCGGUUGCCUGGGGCUUUGCGUGACGCUGAGGCGCGAAAGCGUGGGGAGCGAUCCGG
rnacentral:rRNA from 1 species